rnacentral:lncRNA from 1 species
UAUAUUAUGUUUCUAUUUAGCUAACAUAGUUUUAGGCAUAUUUUCUUAGGGAUCUUUCCUUAUCAAUAUCUUAUUAUAGAAAUAUUUAUGUAUAUAUAUCUUUAUAAUUUAUUAUUGAAUGAAUAAGAAGAAUUCAUAUUCUCUUCUUUAAUGUUCAUAUGAAUAUUGAGAUAUACUAACUCUACUAGAAGUAAAAACAAAUUGUGAUUAUUUUAUUUUUUUUUCUUCUUUUGCUAGAUGUUUCGAAAUAUGUCGGUUAAGAUAACCUGUUCCAUCAAAAAUAUCACAAAAAUAAUAAGCCUCACAUAUUGUACAAACAGUUUGCAAACCUUGUCCUUCAAUUUUUUUGAUAUUGAAAUACUUCCAUAUUUAGUUUGUUCUUUGUUUAAACACUUUUUUAGAGCUUGCGUUUAAAUUUUGUGGAGGUUGCGCUUUGUCAUUACCUUGUAUAGAGCCAUCGGCUAUAGUUUCUGGUUGAUUACUGACAUAAUACUGAGGAGUAUUAUUAGUAUAGAAAAAAUCUUUAUGAGAAAAUUCACGUGAAAUUGUUAUAAAAAAAUAACAUAAUAAAUACUAAUAAAUAAUAAAAUAAAAAUAUUUGAAAAAAAUUUAAAAAUUAAAAAUUAAGAGAUUAAAUAUUGUCUUGAGAUUGAUAUUUUGUAUGGUGGGUGGGAUUAUAGAGAGAUUUUGUAAAAAGAGGUGUUGAAAAAAUUAAAAAAUUUUGUAAAUUAAUUUGAAAGAAAGAAAAUUUUAGAUUGAAAAUUUAAGAGUAGAAAGAUUUAGUGUCUGUAGAAGAAAAAGAAUGAAGAAUUACUUGUUGUGAUGAAUUUGGAGAUUUGUAGGAAUAUUUAUAGAUGUAAAAAAAUCUUUAAAUUAUUUUAAAAUUUAUAAAAAUAUUUAAUUUUAAUUUUUUGGCCAAAAUACCCUCUCUACUU